ACUGGAGAUGUAGCAAGAGGUACUGUGUCCAUAACUGUUAGUGAGCAUCCUGUUUACAGCCGAUAUCCUUACAGACCUGGAGAUUUUAUUUAUUCAUUUG